UACGAAGGGGGCUAGCGUUGUUCGGAAUCACUGGGCGUAAAGCGCGUGUAGGCGGUUUGCCAAGUCGGGUGUGAAAGCCUUGGGCUUAACCCAAGAAAUGCACUCGGUACUGGCAGACUAGAGGACCGGAGAGGAUAGUGGAAUUCCCAGUGUAGUGGUGAAAUACGUAGAGAUUGGGAAGAACACCAGUGGCGAAGGCGGCUAUCUGGACGGUUUCUGACGCUAAGACGCGAAAGCGUGGGGAGCAAACAGG
rnacentral:rRNA from 1 species